AGCGCUACUAUACUCUUAUAAGUAUAGAGCCCUUCAUACUCAUAAAUUGUUUUUAAUAAUGGAUCUUCCAAAUCGACGAUCCACUCCGUUAAAUAUAAUCUAGAGUAUUUGAAACUUCUAGAAAAUAAAUUUCAUAAUUUUUCAAAAUCAUAAUAAAGUUUAUCAAUCGGGUAUAAAAUGAACGGUCAAAAUCGAACGACGUCUUAAAAAUGGAUGAUCGGAUCCUUCAAUUUAAGAUCGGAGUUAUUGAUUUUUAUCUAUGUAGUGAAUAGAAUUUUCUAUCAAAAAUUCAACCGAUUUCGAUUCUUUUACACCAUUAAACUAGCAAAUAUCUCAUACCGGUCCUUAAAAAUUGUCAAUUUUGUGACCUUUUGAUCGUAAGGUAAAUGAUGUUGAAAAAUUAUAUAAUUUGAUUUCUAAACGUUUUAAAUGCUCUAGAUAACGUUUAACGGUGUGGAUCGUCGAUUCGGAAUCAUUGAAAACAACGUAUGAAUACGAGGGCGAUCGUACUCAUAAGAGUAUAGUAGCCCGUAUAUAUAUAUAUAUAUAUAUAUAUAUAUAUAUAUAUAGAAUCCGGCUACUAUGCUAUUAAUACCACGAAGCACUUGAUGCUACCAAGUUUUCCGCCAUUAGAUCUACCCUUUUAAUCAUUUUCACCCGUUAGAUCAUACUAUUCAACCAACCAAUCCACUCAACCCUAGGGGGCCCACAUCAUCCUAACCACACAUUUCUUAAUCCAAUGGCCAAAAACUUGGUAGCACUAAUGACUUGGUGCUAUUAAUAGCAUAGUAGCCUAGUUCUAUAUAUAUAUAAAGAGAGAGAGAGAGAGAGUCCGGCUACUAUACUCUUAUAAGUAUAGAGACUCUUAUACUCAUAAGUUUUUUGCCAUUAGACCUACCCUUUAAUCAUUUUCACCCAUUAGAUUAUACUAUUCAACCAACCACCCACUCAACCCUAGGGGGUCCACUAUCAACCUAACCCUAACCAUUCUCAUCCUAACCAUACAUUUUUUCAUAUGAACCUUCGAAAACUUAUAAGUACAAAGGGCUCUAUACUUAAAUGAGUAUAGUAGCCCCAGCAUAUAUAUAUAUAUAUAUAUAUAUAUAUAUAUAUAUAUAUAUAUAUAUAUAUAUAUAUAUAUAGAACUGGGCUAAUAUACCAUUAAUAGCACCAAGUCAUUGGUGCUACUAAGUUUUUGGCCAUUAGAUUAAGAGAUGUGCGGUUAGGAUGAUGUGGGCCCCCUAGGGUUGAGUGGGUGGUUGGUUGAAUAGUAUGAUCUAACGGGUGAAAAUGAUCAAAAGAGUAAAUCUAACGGCGAAAAAUUUGGUAGCACCAAAUGCUUCGUGCUAUUAAUAGCAUAGUAGCCAGACUCAUAUACAUAUAUAUAUAUAUAAUGUUAGGGCGUGUUUGGUUCGCUUCUUUUUCAUCCUGGAAUCGGAAUCGGAAUGGAUAAAUCCGUUUGUGGGUGUUUGGUACGCGGGAGUUCCAUUCCGAUUCCGAUUCCCGAGUGGGAUGGGAAUCCCCCAAUCACCUCUUUUUUCAAUCCGGCCUAGGAGGCCGGAUUGAAAGUUGAAUCCGAAGGAAUGAAUAUUUAUUCGGAUUAAAUUUAUUUUUUUCAACUUUUUUAAUUAAAAUAUAAGUUAAAAUUUUAAAAUUAAAUAUAUAGUUUUAAAUUUUAAUUUAAACUUAAAUUAAAAAUUAAAAUUUAAUCAAGUAUUUCGAAUCUAACUUAUGAAUUUGAAUUUAAAUUAAAUUUUAAUUUAUAUAAAAUGUUAUUCAAAUUUUAUAUCAAGCUUAAAUUAAAUUUAUGUAUUCAAAUUAAAUUUAAAUUGUAAUUUUAAAUUUGAAUUUGAAUAAAUCAAAAUUUAGCUUCAUAUUUUAAAUUAUCCACUCAACUUCAAAGUUUAAUUUUUUUAAAAAAAUAGAUUUAAAAUUUUGACAUUAUUUCAAAAUUUUGAUGUAAAGUUUUAAUAUUUAAUUUUUAAUUUGAAUUUAAAUUAAUAUAUUAUAAAGAUAAUGUUAGUAUAUUAAUUUGAUUACAUUUUUUAUAUCCACCUGAACCAAACACCGACAAUGGAAAUGAUUUAUUCCGAUUCCGAUUCAGGUGAUGAACCAAAUAGAAUUAGGUAAUGAGUCAUUCCGAUUCCGAUUCCAGCUUAUUUUGAUUCCGAUUCCGAUUUCGAUUCCGACUUCAAACCAAACGCGCCCUUAAUGUUUAUAAUGAACAGUAAAAAUGGUGAAUUUAUAAGCAAGGGGUGGGAGUAGAACGUUAAGAUUUUGGAUUCCUCGUUCCGUGGACAGUGGAAACGACCACGGACAUUUCGGACUUUUUUCGAAAAUAACCCUCUGAAAUUUUGUAAUUGGCAAAAUAACCCUCUGAAAAUUUUAUUUGUAAAACUAACCCUCCUUUCGCCACGUCGGUGCCAGGUGGGAUUUUUCUCGUAAAGACGGUGAAUCGUUCACCGUCU
rnacentral:lncRNA from 1 species